UCCAUAUUUUUUUCAAAUCGUAAUCAUUUUCAGUCAAAAAGCAUAUCCAAGUUACAAUCUCUAAUCUUUGCAACUUGGGCAAUUCAUUUUAAUAGCGCAUUAUCGCCCUGUUCAAAAGCCUUGCUUCUCGACAUAUCUGAUCUUCCUCCUGUCCCCCCUACCCCUUCAUGCUUCAAAAAUUUAACCCACCAAGGAGCGCUAGUGGUCGCGUGGCGGCUACUAGCACUACUCGGCCCCCCACUUUUCUCAUUCUGUCCUCGAGUUUGUGUUCGGGUCGGUUGUUCUCUUGUCAUCCUUGUAAGAACAGCCAAUUAUUAUUUCUUUAAAUUGCCAAUAUUUUAUGCGUGUUGAUGCAUAAAGAUAGAAGGAGCUAAUCCAGGAUAUCCAAACAAAACAAACCGUCCGUAUAGAUGCAGAUCAACACCCCCCGUCGCGGUAAAAAAGAAGACCCGGUAACACACACACAAAUCUAUCUCCGUAUGUAUUUAUCGCAACGACGAAUCGUUUUUUUUAUAUGUGUCACACAACCAAUGCAUAAUCUUCUUUGUUUCAGAGUGCAAGAAAUUCCAGUUACAGAUAAUAUCCGAAACAUAAUAGUCCCACAAGUCAGAGCCCCAUACCUGCAAACUCAAGUGUCGGACGAUUCAGUUCAGAUAGUAUUCCUCAGCAUGAAGGGAAAAAUUUCCUCCAUUAAUAGAUCGAUAGUUCAAGGAUUUCCCCGACAGCUACACACCCUUCAUAGACGCCGUCAUCAGACAAGGAAACAUGGGAGAAAUUUGGUCCGACGAUAAAAGAUUAUACGCGCUACAAUCCAAACCCGACAAGCAACAGCUUAAAAAAAGCACAUGUAAGGGCCGAUUUUACCUCAAUCCAGCAUGGCGUUUCUUUGAUGCUUUGGCGUGGAUAGUCAGGACCCCAGCCCUUCACAAAACUUAACCUCAAGAUGCAAAGACGUCUUAAAUCAUCUAC